UACGUAGGGGGCAAGCGUUAUCCGGAAUUACUGGGUGUAAAGGGAGAGUAGGCGGCAAGGUAAGCGAUAUGUGAAAGCCUUAGGCUUAACCUGAGGAUUGCAUAACGAACUAUCUAGCUAGAGUACAGGAGAGGAAAGCGGAAUUCCUAGUGUAGCGGUGAAAUGCGUAGAUAUUAGGAAGAACACCAGUGGCGAAGGCGGCUUUCUGGACUGAAACUGACGCUGAGGCUCGAAAGCGUGGGGAGCGAACAGGAUUAGAUACCCGGGUAGU
rnacentral:rRNA from 1 species